rnacentral:rRNA from 1 species
GACGAACGCUGGCGGCGUGCCUAAUACAUGCAAGUAGAACGCACAGUUUAUACCGUAGCUUGCUACACCAUACACUGUGAGUUGCGAACGGGUGAGUAACGCGUAGGUAACCUGCCUGGUAGCGGGGGAUAACUAUUGGAAACGAUAGCUAAUACCGCAUAAUAUUGAUUAUUGCAUGAUAAUUGAUUGAAAGAUGCUAUUGCAUCACUACCAGAUGGACCUGCGUUGUAUUAGCUAGUAGGUGAGGUAACGGCUCACCUAGGCGACGAUACAUAGCCGACCUGAGGGGGUGAUCGGCCACACUGGGACUGAGACACGGCCCAGACUCCUACGGGAGGCAGCAGUAGGGAAUCUUCGGCAAUGGACGAAAGCCUGACCGAGCAACGCCGCGUGAGUGAAGAAGGUUUUCGGAUCGUAAAGCUCUGUUGUAAGAGAAGAACGGGUGUGAGAGUGGAAAGUUCACACUGUGACGGUAUCUUACCAGAAAGGGACGGCUAACUACGUG